CAGUAGCCGCGGUAAUACGAAGGGUGCAAGCGUUAAUCGGAAUUACUGGGCGUAAAGCGCGCGUAGGUGGUUCAGUAAGUUGGAAGUGAAAUCCCCGGGCUCAACCUGGGAACUGCUUUCAAAACUGCUGAACUAGAGUACGGUAGAGGGUGGUGGAAUUUCCUGUGUAGCGGUGAAAUGCGUAGAUAUAGGAAGGAACACCAGUGGCGAAGGCGACCACCUGGACUGAUACUGACACUGAGGUGCGAAAGCGUGGGGAGCAAACAGGAUUAGAUACCCCAGUAGUCCCUGUCUCUUAUAA
rnacentral:rRNA from 1 species